AANCGCUGGCGGUCUGCUUAACACAUGCAAGUCGAACGGGAUCCUUCGGGAUUUAGUGGCGGACGGGUGAGUAACGCGUGAGAAUCUGCCCUUAGGUUGGGGACAACAGUUGGAAACGACUGCUAAUACCCAAUGUGCCGAGAGGUGAAAGGUUAACUGCCUGGGGAUGAGCUCGCGUCUGAUUAGCUAGUUGGAGUGGUAACGGCACACCAAGGCGACGAUCAGUAGCUGGUCUGAGAGGAUGAUCAGCCACACUGGGACUGAGACACGGCCCAGACUCCUACGGGAGGCAGCAGUGGGGAAUUUUCCGCAAUGGGCGAAAGCCUGACGGAGCAAGACCGCGUGAGGGAGGAAGGCCUAUUGGUUGUAAACCUCUUUUGAUAGGGAAGAACACAAUGACGGUACCUAUCGAAUCAGCAUCGGCUAACUCUGUGCCAGCAGCCGCGGUAAUACGGAGGAUGCAAGCGUUAUCCGGAUUUAUUGGGCGUAAAGCGUCCGUAGGUGGCAAACCAAGUCAGUUGUUAAAGCGUAGAGCUUAACUCUAUAAGGGCAAUUGAAACUGGUUAGCUAGAGUGCGAUAGGGGCAAGGGGAAUUCCCAGUGUAGCGGUGAAAUGCGUAGAUAUUGGGAAGAACAUCGGUGGCGAAGGCGCCUUGCUGGGUCUGCACUGACACUGAGGGACGAAAGCUAGGGGAGCGAAAGGGAUUAGAUACCCCUGUAGUCCUAG
rnacentral:rRNA from 1 species